rnacentral:rRNA from 1 species
UACAUGGGGUGCAAACGUUGCUCGGAAUUACUGGGCGUAAAGCGUGCGUAGGUGGUUCGUUAAGUCUGUCGUGAAAGCCCCGGGCUCAACCUGGGAAUGGCGAUGGAUACUGGCGGGCUAGAGUGCGGUAGAGGAGAGUGGAAUUCCCGGUGUAGCAGUGAAAUGCGUAGAGAUCGGGAGGAACAUCAGUUGCGAAGGCGGCUCUCUGGACCAGCACUGACACUGAGGCACGAAAGCGUGGGGAGCAAACAGG